UCAGAGAAAAGUGAAGGUCCUUCCAGGAGCUGGUGGUAACCUCACUGGAAAAAUACUGCAAAGUUAGUAUAACAGCGGGAACAUGAAGCUGCCACUCUUGGUGUUUAUUGUGUAUCUGCUCUGGUUGAAAGACUGUCACUGUGCACCUACUUGGAAGGACAAAACUGCAAUCCAUGAAAACCUGAAGGGAUUUUCUGAGGCUGGGGAGAUAGAUGUUGAUGAAGAAGUGAAGAAGGCUCUGAUUGGUAUGAAACAGAUGAAAAUCAUGAUGAAAAGGAGAGAGGAGGAACAUACUCAUAUAAUGAAAACCCUCAAGAAAUGCAGAGAAGAAAAACAGGAAGCCCUGAAACUUAUGAAUGAAGUUCAAGAACAUCUGGAAGAGGAAGAAAGGCGAUGCCAGGAGUCUCUGACAGAUUCCUGGGAUGAAUGCAAGUCUUGCCUGGAAAGUGACUGCAUGAGACUUUAUACAACCUGCCAACCUAGUCGGUCCUCUACAGAAAAUAUGAUUGAACAGUUUUUUAGGAAGAUAUAUCAAUUUCUAUUUCCUUUCCAUGAAGAUAAUAGAAAAGAUCUCCCCGUCGGUGAGAAGGUCAUGGAGGAAGAUGCGCAAGUGACCCAAAUAGAGCACAUGUUCAACCACCUGACUGUGGAUGUGAGAUUUCUCUUUAACAGGAGUUUUAACGUCUUCAAACAGAUGCAGCAAGAAUUUGAUGAGGCUUUUCAGUCAUAUUUCAUGUCAGAUACAGACUUAAUUGAGCCUUAUGUUUUUCCAGCGUUAUUCAAAGAGCCAACAAAAAAAGCAGAUGUUGUGCAGAGUUGGGACCUUCCCAGCUUCUUCCAGCUGUUUUGUAAUUUCAGUCUCUCCAUUUAUCAAAGUGUCAGUACAGCAAUUACUGAGAUGCUGAAUGCAAUGGUGGACUUACCAAAACAACACGAAGAUGCUGACCCCGGAGGCCUGAGUUCAAAGACAAUGUCUGGGCAGGACAGAGGACUGUGUGAAGAACUUGGCCAGAAUCUGUCAGAAUGUUUCCAAGUUCAUGCAAGAUGCCAAAAAUGUCAGGAUUAUCUAUCGGAAGACUGUCCUGACAUACCUGAACUAUACACAAAAGUAGAUGAGGCUCUUAAAUUGGUCAACAUAUCUGAUCAGCAGUAUGUCCAGAUUCUCCAAGUGAUGCAGUAUCAUUUGGAAGACACUACAUAUUUGAUGGAGAAGAUGAGAGAGGAAUUUGGCUGGGUGACUGAACUGGAAAACCAGACUCCAGGAACUGAGAACACCUUCAAUUCCAUAAAGGUAGUUCCACCUGUUCACCACGGAAAUGUUUCCAAACAAGAUGAUACGAUGAUAGGCUUAAGCAUUCUGCCUUCCCCUAAUUUCACACUCAAGAUCCCUCUUGAAGAAAGUUCUGAGAGUUCUAACUUCAUUAGCUACAUGCUGGAAAAAGCUAUACAGCAUUUUAAGGAACAUUUUAAAACUUGUUGUAGCAACCAAGACCAACACAGCUAAAAGAAAUGGAAGAAUACUGUCUCACUCACAAAAUCAAAGGGGAAGCCAGACAAUCAUACCUGGGGCUCAAACUCUAUAGACCACGGUACGAAGAUCUGAUGCAUUCUAUACCCAACAAGUAGAAUUAUCUCUUCAGUUGAGACCUGAAAAUCCUGAAAUACAGUAAACAAAGCUGCAGGAAUGUACAUCAGUUAAAUAUUAUGAAGUACUCUUAAUCUCUUAUGUUGAAUGGCAGUUUAAUAGCUAUGCAAAUUGAGUUACAAUAAAAAUUCAAAACAUCAAA